CCUACGGGUGGCAGCAGUGGGGGAUAUUGCACAAUGGGGGAAACCCUGAUGCAGCGACGCCGCGUGUAGGAAGACGGUCCUCUGGAUUGUAAACUACUGUCCCCAGGGACGAAGAUGACGGUACCUGGGGAGGAAGCUCCGGCUAACUACGUGCCAGCAGCCGCGGUAAUACGUAGGGAGCGAGCGUUGUCCGGAAUUACUGGGUGUAAGGGGAGCGUAGGCGGGGAUGCAAGUUGGGGGUUAAAUCUACCGGCUCAACUGGGAGUAGCACUCGAAACUGGAGCUCUUGAGUGAAGUAGAGGCAGGCGGAAUUCCUAGUGUAGCGGUGAAAUGCGUAGAUAUUAGGAGGAACACCAGUGGCGAAGGCAGCCUGCUGGGCUUUUACUGACGCUGAGGCUCGAAAGUGUGGGGAGCAAACAGGAUUAGAUACCCGUGUAGUC
rnacentral:rRNA from 1 species